rnacentral:lncRNA from 1 species
AAGAAAGAGAGUGUAAGAAUAUGUAAGAGGAAAGAAAGUGUAAGAAUGUGUAAGAGGAAAGAGAGUGUAAGAUUGUGUAAGAAUUUGUAAGAGGAAAGAGAGUGUGAAGAAGGGUAUUUUUGGAAAUUCAAGGUAAGAAAUGUAGAGCAAUUUAUACAUAUGUCAAAUCAUGUAUAGAUUGCUAAUUUUGACACCAUUUAUGUAUAUUGAGCUAAUUCUCUCUUUUAUCAAUUGUUUUUAUUUUUUAUAAUGUUUUGAUUUAUAAAACUAUUUAUUUCAUUAGGUUUUGGAAAUGGAAAGAGUAAAAAA